rnacentral:lncRNA from 1 species
AUAUCGGGGGUGCACUGGCACAGAGGAAAGGCCAUGUGAAGCAAGAAGGCAGCCAUCUGCAAGCCAAGGAGAGAAAUUUCAGAAGGAACCAACCCUACCGACAUCUUGAUCUUGGACUUUAAGCUGCCAGACCUUUUAUACAUUUUCUACAGAAAAUGCACCCCAUCAUUGCUUAUAGCCCACCCACGUGGACUGCUCAUUCUGUGAAUCAUGUUUUACAGAAAUUGCCUUGAUGUUAGGAAUUAAAAAAACAAAACAAAACAAAAAACAUGGAGCCGUAUUCUCCAGAAGCUUACAUCUGAUUUAACGAGACAGCAAUAGGAAGCCAAAGGGUCCCUGCAGAGGAGGGUUGCAGCACGAUAACUCUACAGCUGGACAGAGACAGAUUGCAGGGGAGCAAGAAUGAAUGGCAGGCCAGCUGCCAGAAGCUUCUCACUCCGUGGAGACCUUGGAGUCGAGGAUGAAAUGUCUUACAACUGUGGGGAGACCUUGGCUUUUCCAAAGCCUACCAGGGUCCAGGACUUGGAAGCUAAGGCCCAGAGAGGAGGAGAAACUUGAUCAAAGUCAAUCAGACAAUGCAGAAUCGAGAAAAGUACCUGGACCUCUAUGCCCAUGCUUCUAGCAGCCAGCCUCCUAAAAUACCUCUAGUUGAAGCCAAAGUUAGAAUCCUUCUACGAAACUACAGGAUUAAAAUGGAAUGGUUACAUGACCCAGGCUUGACCAAUCAGAUCAUCCAAACCCUUUGCCACAGUGAUUGGUCCAGGGAUACAUGCAUGAGCCAGCUCAGGUGGCAUUGUAUUAUGCGCCAAGAGUGAACCAGAUAGAGGAAGUUGCUCCUUAAGCUUGCAGGUCUGAAAGAACAAGGAAUUGCCUCUCUUCAAAGGCCUAAGCCACACUCAUCUUGUGGAUGACACUGGAGCUGUGACAGUCUGUUCUGUCCAGGCAGGGUGUCUUUUAUUUUUAUUGGAAAUAAGAUUAUCACAGAAUUGCUGGCUGUUGAUACUCUUUCUCAUCAACUCCCCAAAUGGAAAUGCUUUCAACCACUGCAGAAGUAAAAAAUUACCCAAAGGCUGUAUGAUGCAAACUCUUUCUUUGGCUUUAUCUUACUGAUAAGAAUAAAAAUAACACCUCACGUAUGUAU